GUGGGGAAUAUUGGGCAAUGGGCGAAAGCCUGACCCAGCAACGCCGCGUGAAGGAAGAAGGUUUUCGGAUCGUAAACUUCUAUCCUUGGUGAAGAUAAUGACGGUAGCCAAGAAGGAAGCCCCGGCUAACUACGUGCUAGCAGCCGCGGUAAUACGUAGGGGGCAAGCGUUGUCCGGAAUGAUUGGGCGUAAAGGGCGCGUAGGCGGCCUGGUAAGUCUGGAGGGAAAGUCCUGCUUUUAAGGUGGGAAUUGCUUUGGAUACUGUCGGGCUUGAGUGCAGGAGAGGUAAGUGGAAUUCCCGGUGUAGCGGUGAAAUGCGUAGAGAUCGGGAGGAACACCAGUGGCGAAGGCGACUUACUGGACUGUAACUGACGCUGAGGCGCGAAAGUGUGGGGAGCAAACAGGAUUAGAUACCCGGGUAGUCC
rnacentral:rRNA from 1 species